rnacentral:rRNA from 1 species
AUAACGGUCCUAAGGUAGCGAAAUUCCUUGUCGGGUAAGUUCCGACCCGCACGAAUGGUGUAACGAUUUGGGUACUGUCUCAACAAGGGACCCGGCGAAAUUGUAGUAUGUGUGAAGAUGCACAUUACCCGCGAUAGGACGGAAAGACCCCGUAGAGCUUUACUGUAGUUUAACAUUGGAUUCCGGUAACAUAUGCACAGGAUAGGUGGGAGGCGGAGAAGCAGUGAUUUCGGUUGCUGCAGAGCCGACGUUGGGAUACCACUCUUGUGUUACUGGGGUUCUAACCUGUGGCCGUGAUCCGGCACAGGAACAGUGUUAGAUGGGCAGUUUGACUGGGGCGGUCGCCUCCAAAAGAGUAACGGAGGCGUCCAAAGGUUCCCUCAGAAUGGUUGGAAACCAUUCGAAGAGUACAAAGGCAGAAGGGAGCCUGACUGCGAGACCGACAGGUCGAGCAGGGACGAAAGUCGGGCUUAGUGAUCCGGCGGUAUAGAGUGGAAUUGCCGUCGCUCAACGGAUAAAAGCUACCUCGGGGAUAACAGGCUUAUCUCCCCCAAGAGUCCACAUCGACGGGGAGGUUUGGCACCUCGAUGUCGGCUCGUCGCAUCCUGGGGCUGGAUUAGGUCCCAAGGGUUUGGCUGUUCGCCAAUUAAAGCGGCACGCGAGCUGGGUUCAGAACGUCGUGAGACAGUUCGGUCGCUAUCCAUCGUGGGCGCAGGAGAUUUGAGAAGAGCUGUCCUCAGUACGAGAGGACCGGGAUGGACGCACCAAGGGUGUAUCAGUUGUCACGCCAGUGGCACAGCUGGGUAGCCAAGUGCGGAUCGGAUAAACGCUGAAGGCAUCUAAGCGUGAAGCCGACUUCAAGAUAAGAUCUCCCAUCCGCAAGGAGUAAGGCCCCAUGUAGACCACAUGGUUGAUAGGUCGCAGGUGGAAGUGCAGUAAUGUACGCAGCUGAGCGAUACUAAUAGGCCGAGGGCUUGAUCAA